AUUGAACGCUGGCGGCAGGCCUAACACAUGCAAGUCGAGCGGAUGAAGGGAGCUUGCUCCUGGAUUCAGCGGCGGACGGGUGAGUAAUGCCUAGGAAUCUGCCUGGUAGUGGGGGAUAACGUCCGGAAACGGGCGCUAAUACCGCAUACGUCCUGAGGGAGAAGGUGGGGGAUCUUCGGACCUCACGCUAUCAGAUGAGCCUAGGUCGGAUUAGCUAGUUGGUGGGGUAAAGGCCUACCAAGGCGACGAUCCGUAACUGGUCUGAGAGGAUGAUCAGUCACACUGGAACUGAGACACGGUCCAGACUCCUACGGGAGGCAGCAGUGGGGAAUAUUGGACAAUGGGCGAAAGCCUGAUCCAGCCAUGCCGCGUGUGUGAAGAAGGUCUUCGGAUUGUAAAGCACCUUAAGUUGGGAGGAAGGGCAGUAAGUUAAUACCUUGCUGUUUUGACGUUACCAACAGAAUAAGCACCGGCUAACUUCGUG
rnacentral:rRNA from 1 species